rnacentral:lncRNA from 1 species
GGUGAUGCCGAGUGCAAAACGUUAGACUGCCCCGUGUGAGGCUCGAACUCACGACCUUCAGAUUAUGAGACUGACGCGCUGCCUACUGCGCUAACGAGGCUGCUCGGCGACCACUUCGCGCCGCGGCUUUUGUGGAGAUAGGGGUCGCCCCUCGCGCCCGUGCGUCCCGCUUCCGGCGCCCGAAACUGUGCCGCGCCGGCCGAAUACAAACCAACAGACUGUAGCCAUCUUCUGAACGCUGUCCUAGAUCAUGUGAAGGCACAGCUUCAGAGGUUAAAAAUUUCGGAAUCUGGAAACCAGAGAGAAUGUUUAACCACCAGGAGAGUUCCAGGCGCCGCGGCAGGGGGACUGGGAGAGGGGACUGCGCCCAGAAUGAAGGCUCGGGACAAAAGCAGUUGCGCAAACGCGCCAAGGCUGGGCGUCGAGUGACCGCGGGCGGAGGUCACCAGCGGCCAC